rnacentral:rRNA from 1 species
UACAGGGGGGCAAGCGUUGUUCGGAAUUACUGGCGUAAAGCGCGCGCAGGCGGCCACGUAAGUCGGAUGUGAAAUCCCUGGGCUCAACCCAGGAACUGCGUCCAAGACUGGGAGGCUUGAAUCCGGGAGAGGGAUGUGGAAUUCCAGGUGUAGCGGUGAAAUGCGUAGAUAUCUGGAGGAACACCGGUGGCGAAGGCGGCAUCCUGGACCGGUAUUGACGCUGAGGCUCGAAAGCAUGGGGAGCCAAACAGGG